UGGCGAACGGGUGAGUAACACGUGGGUGAUCUGCCCUGCACUUCGGGAUAAGCCUGGGAAACUGGGUCUAAUACCGGAUAGGAGCCAUUUUUAGUGUGAUGGUUGGAAAGUUUUUUCGGUGUAGGAUGAGCUCGCGGCCUAUCAGCUUGUUGGUGGGGUAAUGGCCUACCAAGGCGUCGACGGGUAGCCGGCCUGAGAGGGUGUACGGCCACAUUGGGACUGAGAUACGGCCCAG
rnacentral:rRNA from 1 species